UAAAUUUCGCAGCAUUAAAGUUGAAUCGAUAAAUUCUACAACAUUGAAGUUGAACCGAUAAUUAAAAAAUAAUUAGUAAAUAAAAUUAAUAUUUAUACAACAAAUAAAAUUAGUAAAUAUUUUAAAUUUUGCAGCAUUGAAUCAUCAACUGAGUUAUUGAUAUAUGUCAUGUGAUAACACAGGAUUGAGAACCCAACCUUCAUCAACAAAAAAAAGUUGAUAACUUAAUCUUUUGAAUUGGAACCUAUGAAAUGGAAAACACUCCUAAGAGAUAGACAUAAAAUAAUCAUUCACCAAA
rnacentral:lncRNA from 1 species